rnacentral:rRNA from 1 species
AUUGAACGCUGGCGGCAGGCCUAACACAUGCAAGUCGAACGAGUGGCGGACGGGUGAGUAAUGUCUGGGAAACUGCCUGAUGGAGGGGGAUAACUACUGGAAACGGUAGCUAAUACCGCAUACCAUCAGAUGUGCCCAGAUGGGAUUAGCUAGUUGGUGGGGUAACGGCUAACCAAGGCGACGAUGCCUAGCUGGUCUGAGAGGAUGACCGGCCACACUGGAACUGAGACACGGUCCAGACUCCUACGGGAGGCAGCAGUAGGGAAUAUUGGGCAAUGGACGAAAGCCUGAUGGAGCCAUGCCGCGUGAAUGAAGAAGGCCUUCGGAUUGUAAAGUACUUUCGGCAGAGAAGCGGUACCCGAAGAGAAAGCAACGGCUAACUCCGUGCCAGCAGCCGCGGUAAUAC